rnacentral:rRNA from 1 species
UAGAGUUUGAUCAUGGCUCAGGAUGAACGCUAGCGACAGGCUUAACACAUGCAAGUCGAGGGGCAGCGGGGAGGUAGCAAUACUUCCGCCGGCGACCGGCGCACGGGUGAGUAACACGUAUGGAACCUGCCCGUAGCAGGGGGAUAAACGGAAGAAAUUCCGUCUAAUACCGCGUAAUAACUCCGAGAGGCAUCUCAUGGAGUUUAAAGGGUAACACCGGCUACGGAUGGCCAUGCGGCGCAUUAGCUAGUUGGCGGGGUAACGGCCCACCAAGGCGACGAUGCGUAGGGGUUCUGAGAGGAAGGUCCCCCACACUGGUACUGAGACACGGACCAGACUCCUACGGGAGGCAGCAGUGAGGAAUAUUGGUCAAUGGGCGCGAGCCUGAACCAGCCAAGUCGCGUGAGGGAAGACGGUCCUAUGGAUUGUAAACCUCUUUUGUCGGGGAGCAAAAGACGCCACGUGUGGCGUUCCGAGAGUACCCGAAGAAAAAGCAUCGGCUAACUCCGUGCCAGCAGCCGCGGUAAUACGGAGGAUGCGAGCGUUAUCCGGAUUUAUUGGGUUUAAAGGGUGCGCAGGCGGAAGAUCAAGUCAGCGGUAAAAUUGAGAGGCUCAACCUCUUCGAGCCGUUGAAACUGGUUUUCUUGAGUGAGCGAGAAGUAUGCGGAAUGCGUGGUGUAGCGGUGAAAUGCAUAGAUAUCACGCAGAACUCCGAUUGCGAAGGCAGCAUACCGGCGCUCAACUGACGCUCAUGCACGAAAGUGUGGGUAUCGAACAGGAUUAGAUACCCUGGUAGUCCACACAGUAAACGAUGAAUACUAAUUGUUCGGGGAGAAUGAUCCCUGAGUGAUACAGCGAAAGCGUUAAGUAUUCCACCUGGGGAGUACGCCGGCAACGGUGAAACUCAAAGGAAUUGACGGGGGCCCGCACAAGCGGAGGAACAUGUGGUUUAAUUCGAUGAUACGCGAGGAACCUUACCCGGGCUCAAACGACACAGGAAUACUUUUGAAAGGAAGUAGCUCUACGGAGCCUGUGUCGAGGUGCUGCAUGGUUGUCGUCAGCUCGUGCCGUGAGGUGUCGGCUUAAGUGCCAUAACGAGCGCAACCCCCAUCGCCAGUUACCAGCAAGUCAAGUUGGGGACUCUGGCGAGACUGCCGGCGCAAGCUGUGAGGAAGGCGGGGAUGACGUCAAAUCAGCACGGCCCUUACGUCCGGGGCGACACACGUGUUACAAUGGCAGGUACAGAGAGAAGCAAUGCGGCGACGCAAAGCGGAACUUGAAAGCCUGUCUCAGUUCGGAUUGGAGUCUGCAACUCGACUCCAUGAAGCUGGAUUCGCUAGUAAUCGCGCAUCAGCCAUGGCGCGGUGAAUACGUUCCCGGGCCUUGUACACACCGCCCGUCAAGCCAUGGAAGCCGGGAGUGCCUGAAGUGUGCAACCGCAAGGAGCGCCCUAAGGUAAAACUGGUGACUGGGGCUAAGUCGUAACAAGGUAGCCGUAA